rnacentral:misc_RNA from 1 species
AAAAAAUAGGACUGUUAACAUCUGCAGUUACUUGAUCGCUCAACCGUGAAACAAUCGCCAUUUAGUGUCGUUCUCUGUAUCUGAAAAAGCAGUUCUAUGCUCCAGUGCUGUUUCCACUAUACUGUAACUAUAGUAUGAUACAACUAGCCACAUUGCUUACAAUACAAACUAAAGCCAAGAAAUAAUGGCUUGUGGGAGUCAUAAUGCUGACAAACCCAAGGAGAAUGCAGAGACCAGAAGCAGCAUACCAGGGAAAGGUG